rnacentral:pre_miRNA from 1 species
CAAGUACUCCCUCCGUCCGAAAAUACUUGUCAUCAAAAUGGAUAAAAAGAGAUGUAUCUAGAACUAAAAUACAUCUAGAUACAUCCCCUUUUAUUCAUUUUGAUGACAAGUAUUUCCGGACGGAGGGAGUACCCA